rnacentral:rRNA from 1 species
UGGCAGCGGCGGACGGGUGAGUAACGCGUAGGUAUCUAUCUCCGGGUGGGGGGACAACCAUGGGAAAACUAUGGCUAAUACCGCAUGAUGCCCGAGGGCCAAAGGCGCGAGUCGCCGGGAGAGGAGCCUGCGUACGAUUAGCUAGUUGGCGGGGUAAUGGCCCACCAAGGCGACGAUCGGUAGCCGGCCUGAGAGGGCGGACGGCCACACUGGGACUGAGACACGGCCCAG